rnacentral:rRNA from 1 species
GAUGCGUUGUUGGGUAGGGGAGCGUUCUGUAAGCCUGCGAAGGUGUGCUGUGAGGCAUGCUGGAGGUAUCAGAAGUGCGAAUGCUGACAUAAGUAACGAUAAAGCGGGUGAAAAGCCCGCUCGCCGGAAGACCAAGGGUUCCUGUCCAACGUUAAUCGGGGCAGGGUGAGUCGACCCCUAAGGCGAGGCCGAAAGGCGUAGUCGAUGGGAAACAGGUUAAUAUUCCUGUACUUGGUGUUACUGCGAAGGGGGGACGGAGAAGGCUAUGUUGGCCGGGCGACGGUUGUCCCGGUUUAAGCGUGUAGGCUGGUUUUCCAGGCAAAUCCGGAAAAUCAAGGCUGAGGCGUGAUGACGAGGCACUACGGUGCUGAAGCAACAAAUGCCCUGCUUCCAGGAAAAGCCUCUAAGCAUCAGGUAACAUCAAAUCGUACCCCAAACCGACACAGGUGGUCAGGUAGAGAAUACCAAGGCGCUUGAGAGAACUCGGGUGAAGGAACUAGGCAAAAUGGUGCCGUAACUUCGGGAGAA